AGGGUUUGAUCAUGGCUCAGAUUGAACGCUGGCGGCAUGCCUUACACAUGCAAGUCGAACGGCAGCACGGACUUCGGUCUGGUGGCGAGUGGCGAACGGGUGAGUAAUACAUCGGAACGUGUCCUGGAGUGGGGGAUAGCCCGGCGAAAGCCGGAUUAAUACCGCAUACGCUCUGAGGAGGAAAGCGGGGGCUCGCAAGACCUCGCGCUCAAGGGGCGGCCGAUGGCAGAUUAGGUAGUUGGUGGGGUAAUGGCCUACCAAGGCGACGAUCGGUAGCUGGUCUGAGAGGAUGAUCAGCCACACUGGGACUGAGACACGGCCCAGACUCCUACGGGAGGCAGCAGUGGGGAAUUUUGGACAAUGGGGGCAACCCUGAUCCAGCCAUGCCGCGUGCGGGAAGAAGGCCUUCGGGUUGUAAACCGCUUUUAGCCGGGAAGAAAAGGGCGAGGUUAAUACCUUCGUUUUUUGACGGUACCGGCGGAAUAAGCACCGGCUAACUACGUGCCAGCAGCCGCGGUAAUACGUAGGGUGCGAGCGUUAAUCGGAAUUACUGGGCGUAAAGCGUGCGCAGGCGGUUCGUUGUGUCUGUGGUGAAAGCCCCGGGCUUAACCUGGGAAUGGCCAUGGAAACUGGCGAGCUGGAGUGUGGCAGAGGGGGGUGGAAUUCCGCGUAGCAGUGAAAUGCGUAGAGAUGCGGAGGAACACCGAUGGCGAAGGCAGCCCCCUGGGCUAACACUGACGCUCAGGCACGAAAGCGUGGGGAGCAAACAGGAUUAGAUACCCUAGUAGUCC
rnacentral:rRNA from 1 species